UACGAGGGGGGCGAGCGUUGUUCGGAAUUAUUGGGCGUAAAGGGUGCGUAGGCGGUUUGGUACGUCUGAUGUGAAAUCUAUGGGCUCAACUCAUAGUCUGCAUCGGAAACUGCCGGGCUUGAGUAUGGGAGAGGUGAGUGGAAUUCCUGGUGUAGCGGUGAAAUGCGUAGAUAUCAGGAGGAACACCUGUGGCGAAAGCGGCUCACUGGACCAUAACUGACGCUGAUGCACGAAAGCUAGGGGAGCAAACAGG
rnacentral:rRNA from 1 species